UGGGACAGGAGAUCACACACUGUAUUAUUAUUAUUGAGAGACAGGCUCACUGUCUGUUCCUCAGGCUGGGACAGGAGGUCACACGCUGUAUUAUUGUUAUAGAGUUCUGUUCACACAGAUGCCCCAAUAGUUGUUGGGAUCGUGUCUCACGCCCAGUGUCUCUCUCUGACCCCCUGCACCUCCCCCUUCUCUCUCUCAGAUCUGGAGUCGGGGUCUGACGAGGGGGACCCCACGGACCUCCUGCUCUUCUGUGGACACCCGGAGCCCCUGCCCGCCAGCGCCCCUGCGUUCAGCGAGGUGACCCCGAGAGUCCAGCCUGCGUCGCGGCCGGGGGGGCGCAGGCCGGUGUUUGAUGACCCCGCGGUGGUCCGCACGGUGGAGGGGCGCCCCAGUCUGCAGAGUCUGGACAGCGCCAUCGUCGACAGCAGCGUCAGCUCAGCCUGGGGGAGUCUGGACCCCGACUCGGACAAGGCCAUCAUCAGAGUGAUUGACAGGCCCAGCCCUGCCAGGAUCCCGCCCACAACACUGGACUUCCUGUCUCCAGCGCCACGGUGCUUUACAGCGGGGUCCCCCUCCGUGAAGAGGGGUCCCCCCAGCCGGGGGUCCCCCCAGUCGUAUGGGCCACGCUACCUGUCCCAGGUGAGGUGUGGGGUAGCCCUGGGUCGAGGUGGGGGGGUGUGUGUGUGUGUGUGUGUGUGUUUGGGGUAGCCCUGGGUCGAGGUGGGGGUGUGUGUUUUGGGGAGCCUGGGGUUGAGGCAGGGGAGGGGGGUGUGAGUUUGGGGGAGCCCAGGGUUGGUGUGAUACACAUCUUGACCACUAGGUGGCAAUGUCGAUCAACAGUGAGCGCCUGACUGAGAGAUACUCUGGGGGUGAUGUAUGAUGCUCUCCUGCCUCAGGCUCUGGGGGUCCCCAGGCUGGGUGUGUGAAGCUCUGGGGGUGCUGUGUGUGAUUCUGGGGUUCCCCAGGCUGGGUGGCUGUGUGAAGCUCUGGGGGUGCUG
rnacentral:lncRNA from 1 species